rnacentral:lncRNA from 1 species
AACAAUAAACUUAAUUUAUAAAUACUUUAAAAAUAUAUUUUUUUUUCACACACAGAUCUAUGGAUAGAAAUCUGAUUAAAUUGACGAACAUUUCCAAGCUUCCACGUUCCCACCUGAAAUAACGGUAUAAUUUCUCGAAUUAAAAUCUAACAAUUAAAUUAAUAUAAAUCCACCACUUAACUUCUCAACUUCUAUACUUACUCUUACAUUUCCAAUUCUCCAACUUUUCUUCUCUUUAAUAAUUUAUCAACUAGUCACCAUACACUAUCAAAUCCAUUACACCACUCACACUUCCUUGAAAUCACUACCUUAAUACAUCUACAACCCUUAUACAUAGUUAGUCCAAUACAUAGGCUUCAAUAUUUAUCAUAUAAAUUCAUUCAAACCUUUAAAAAUCUGAAAAUCCAAGGUUUGACAAAAACAGCACUAAAUUCCAGAAUAUAGAAAUCUGGCACCAAUUUCUGAAUAUUGAAAUUUGGCACCGAAACCCUUGACAGAAAUAGCACUUUUCUGGGCAGAAUUUCGGAACACUUCAACACCAANNNNNNNNNNNNNNNNNNNNNNNNNNNNNNNNNNNNNUAUAUAUAUAUAUAUAUUAAUUCUAGCUAAAUUUCCAAUUUUGAGUAAUUUUCCAUGAACCCUAAAAAUUCAAUUACAUAAUUUUUACUUACCUCUUGAAAAUAAGGAGAAGUAAAGAAUGGAAAUUGAAAAGCCAACACGUAUUCCUCCUCGUCCUCCUUCUUCUUCAUUUUUUUUUUCAUUUCUCUCUCGGUCUCUUAGUCUCUUUCUCUCUCUCGAUCCUUCUAUCUAUUUCCAAAAAGAGAAAUGGGAUGAAAAAUGGGUCAUUAUCCUCUAAGUCAAUAGAUAACUAUAAUAUAAUUACACUUCACCAUAAAUUUCAUAUUCUCUUUAUGUAAUCAUUUUCUAUCUCCUUGACCCCAAGUUUCUAUACCAAUAAGUAACC